GACGAACGCUGGCGGCGUGCUUAACACAUGCAAGUCGAACGGAAAGGCCCUGCUUUUGUGGGGUGCUCGAGUGGCGAACGGGUGAGUAACACGUGAGUAACCUGCCCUUGACUUUGGGAUAACUUCAGGAAACUGGGGCUAAUACCGGAUAGGAGCUCCUGCUGCAUGGUGGGGGUUGGAAAGUUUCGGCGGUUGGGGAUGGACUCGCGGCUUAUCAGCUUGUUGGUGGGGUAGUGGCUUACCAAGGCUUUGACGGGUAGCCGGCCUGAGAGGGUGACCGGCCACAUUGGGACUGAGAUACGGCCCAGACUCCUACGGGAGGCAGCAGUGGGGAAUAUUGCACAGUGGGCGGAAGCCUGAUGCAGAAACGCCGCGUGCGGGAUGACGGCCUUCGGGUUGUAAACCGCUUUCGCCUGUGACGAAGCGUGAGUGACGGUAAUGGGUAAAGAAGCACCGGCUAACUACGUG
rnacentral:rRNA from 1 species